rnacentral:rRNA from 1 species
AGCAGCCGCGGUAAUUCCAGCUCCAAUAGCGUAUAUUAAAGUUGUUGCAGUUAAAAAGCUCGUAGUUGAAUUUCGGGAUCAGUGGGUCGGUCGUGCCACUGGUAUGCACUGGCUCUACUGGUUCCUCCUUCUUGAAGAACUGUAAUGCCAUUAAUUUGGUGUUGCAGGGAAACAGGACUGUUACUUUGAAAAAAUUAGAGUGUUUAAAGUAGGCAAUCGCUUGAAUACAUUAGCAUGGAAUAAUGGGAUAGGACGAUCGAUCCUAUUUUGUUGGUUCCUAGGAUUGACGUAAUGAUUAAUAGGGGUAGUUGGGGGCAUUAGUAUUCAAUUGUCAGAGGUGAAAUUCUUGGAUUUAUUGAAGACUAACUACUGCGAAAGCAUUUGCUAAGGAUGUUUUCAUUA